CCCAUCCUUUAAUAUUGUCGGUUUGUUUUGCUCCAAAUUUCCCUUGUCGGUUGUUUUUGAUAACCCAAAGAUAAGUAAACCCAAUGAAACCCAACAUGAAACCCCCGAAAUCCCGUGAAACCCAAAAUCCCAAACCCAUCUCUCUGUUUCUCUCUCUCUCUCGCCUACUGCUGCAUCACCCUUCCUGCCUCGCCGUCGUUUUAAGUCCGCCGGAGCCGCGACGAACAAUCGCAACCUUAUUGUCGUGCUGCUACCCGUUUGCUCUCUUCACAGUUCGCGUCUCCGUUGUUCGCCUGUUGAUUUGCUGUUGCGGUUGCGUCGUCAGCCACCGUCGAGUCACGCCGCCACCUCCCCAGCGGUGCUGCCGCUCAGUCUUCAAGUCGGUUCGUGGUGGUUGCGCCGCCGCUGCUGGUUGCCGUUGCUCUGCCCUAUAUUUUCCCUCUCCUUUCAUUGUUGUUGCUGCUGUAGUUGUGUAUCUCCCUGCCCCGUCGAUUUGUUGGUGCUGCCAUCUACAGUGGUAGCGGCGUGUCGGUGGUCGGCGAAGUACCAAAGUAUCUUAAAUGUUUCAGGUUGAAGCCGUGAGUUAUUCUUUUGCAAGCUGAAGCGGAUAAGAGAUGGUGCAGUAUUAUAUUUGUUAUUGAAGUGAGGACGCUCCACUUGUAAUAGUUAAUCGUUUAAUUUCUAUAUAUAUUUUCUUUAUUUAAGAAUCGCUAGCUAAGUGCUCCUGAUUCUCUGCUGGUUGUUGCUCCGCGAAAGCGUUGAGAUUGUUGAGCUUUGGGAUUUGAAAAUAUUUUAUUUAUUAAAAUUGUAACAGGUUCAUAUUA